UUCGUCACUGUAUUCUUUAUUCCACACUUUGGUAAGCUUAUAUCGCUAGCGCAUCCAUGAACGCAUUUUAAGACCUACAAAUUAUUGAUUGAACUAUUAUACAAGAAAGCUCUAGUGAACCUAUGUUAUUAAGUUCAGUUAUUGCUGUUAUUACAGUACGUUUACUUGUCAAUAGUAAAAAACUACCGUGCUCGGGCGUAUCCCUAUAUUCAAAUCAACUGAGGGUUAGCAUUCAGAAAGCUUUAAGCAGUAAUAAAAAUCACAAACAAAAAAAGUGAACAUUACAAACAAUUUUUUUUCUAUUUACAAUUGAUUUGAGGUUUAUUAAUCAAAAUUAAUAUUAAUUUUAGAAUUGAGUAAUGAA